AUUUGCAGUAUAAAGGAAAAAGCUGUAUACCAAGUGUUUAACAAGCCUUCGUGUCACUCAAUUCUCCCUGAGAUUUUGAAUCGAGUUGCACUUUUGCGAUGAUAGCACUAUGAAAAUUGUUUCCUGAUUCUGAAGUUUGAUAUAGGAUUUAUCAUUCAUGAACAUUAUAGAUCCUUUUCUUCUAACCGUCAGGGAAGAAAAUUCAACAUUCGCAAACUGUUUUCUUUACAUCGGAGACAUUAAUCUGAUUAGAGGCCUAUGCUACACUGCACGGUGAUUCUUCUCUUAUACUAUUUAUUAUGACAUAUCCCAAAUAAUUUAUGCCAUUGCAAUUAACACCAAUUGCAAUAUCUUCUUAGAAUUCUGUUUGGGAUAUGUGAAUUCGAUUUAUCAAGGAUUGCUAAUGAUUGAUGGAAAAGAAAAUAAGAAUGUGCGAAAGGAAAGGGUUAACUAUGGGGAUGUAGGUGUGAUGCAGCUCUGAUUUUCACUGAUCAAGGAUUAGACCGGAUACCAAGGUCAGUAGUUGAAAUCUUUACCACAAAUGCAAGAAUUUUCUGCAUCCCUGACUCAAGAAACUUACCUACAAGGUUGUUUUUCUUCUUAAGGUUAAAUUCCUCUUACUUGAGUAGACCUUAAUUUUUGCAAAUAGAUAAAAAAAGGAAAGGGAAAAAGAAAGAAAGAAACUCCUGCUCACCAUACUUGUUUUAGAAUUGAAGGAAAACAGAGAAUAGGUAGAAAGUGAAGUGAUCUUAGAGGUAUAAUUCGAUUUCUUCUUGCGUUUCUUUUCGUCUUAAGCUACAAUUCUCUUGUUUCUUAUCAUUGCAGGUUAAUUUAUCAGUCAGGCUCUGCCUCAGCUGGGAUUUUGGCGUAAUUGCUGUAAAAGAUAUAGGGAGAAGUAAUUACAAUAUAUAUGCCACACUGGUAGAUCAAAAUCAUCAUUUGAUCAUAGAAAAGGUGAUUAAGAAUAUGAAAUGCUACCUUUCCGAAUUGCUAAAUCCCGCAAUUUGAAAUGAAGCCUUGGCGUUUUCCACCAGUGUUUGCAGUUAAGAUGUACUUUUCUUCUUUCUAAGGGGGUUUUGGAUUUUGGACCAAUUGAGUAUUGUAAUGAUUUGAUCUCCAUUUUUUCCUGCGGUUUUGGUUUAGGUUCUCAUCUUUUG
rnacentral:misc_RNA from 1 species